rnacentral:snRNA from 1 species
GGUUCCACCGGUUCCAUCGA